rnacentral:rRNA from 1 species
AGAGUUUGAUCCUGGCUCAGCGCGAACGCUGGCGGCAUGCCUAACACAUGCAAGUCGUACGGAGAGUGGGGCAACUCACUCUCAGUGGCAAACGGGUGAGUAACGCGUGAAUAACCUGCCUUUGAGAAGGGGAUAACUGUCCGAAAGGAUAGCUAAUACCCUAUAUUGCCUUUUGUCACUAAGGCAAAAGGUGAAAGCGAGGCUGUCAAAGGCUUCGGCUCAAAGAGGGGUUCGCGUCCUAUCAGGUAGUUGGUGGGGUAAUGGCCUACCAAGCCAAUGACGGGUAGCUGGUCUUAGAGGAUGAUCAGCCACAGUGGGACUGAGACACGGCCCGCACCCCUACGGGGGGCAGCAGUGGGGAAUCGUGGGCAAUGGGCGCAAGCCUGACCCCGCAAUGCCGCGUGAGGGAGGAAGCCCUUCGGGGUGUAAACCUCUGUCAGAUGGGAAGAUGGGGCUAGGGGCUAAUACCUCCUGGUCUUGACGGUACCAUCAGAGGAAGGGACGGCUAACUACGUGCCAGCAGCCGCGGUAAUACGUAGGUCCCGAGCGUUGCGCGAUGUUACUGGGCGUAAAGCGUCCGUAGCUGGUUUCGUAAGCGGAUUGUCAAAACCCGAAGCUCAACUUCGGCAAGGCAUUCCGAACUGCGUUACUUGAGUCCUGUUCAGGUAGGCGGGAAUCCCGGUGUAGCGGUGAAAUGCGUAGAUAUCGGGGAGGAACACAGUGGCGAAGGCGGCCUACUGGGACGGUACUGACGGUCAUGGACAAAACUGGGGGAGCAAACCGGAUUAAAUCCCCUGGUAGUCAAGGGCG